rnacentral:rRNA from 1 species
AUUGAACGCUGGCGGCAGGCCUAACACAUGCAAGUCGAGCGAGCGGCGGACGGGUGAGUAAUGCCUGGGAAACUGCCUGAUGGAGGGGGAUAACUAAUGGAAACGGUAGCUAAUACCGCAUACCAUCAGAUCUGCCCAGGUGGGAUUAGCUGGUUGGUGGGGUAACGGCUCACCAAGGCGACGAUCCCUAGCUGGUCUGAGAAGAUGACCAGCCACACUGGGACUGAGACACGGUCCAGACUCCUACGGGAGGCAGCAGUGGGGAAUAUUGCACAAUGGGCGCAAGCCUGAUGCAGCCAUGCCGCGUGUGGGAAGAAGGCCUUCGGGUUGUAAAGCACUUUCAGCGGGGAGGCGUUACCCGCAGAAGAAGCACCGGCUAACUCCGUGCCAGCAGCCGCGGUAAUAC